rnacentral:rRNA from 1 species
AAAAACAUGGCUAUUAUGAGAUUAUUUAUAGUCUAGCCUGCUCACUGAUAGGAAUUAUUAAAUAGCCGCGGUAUUUUGACCGUGCAAAGGUAGCAUAAUCAUUAGUUUCUUAAUUGGAAACUUGUAUGAAUGGUUGGACAAAGAAGAGGCUGUCUCUUAUAUUAUUGUUGAAUUUAACUUUUAAGUGAAAAGGCUUAAAUAUUCUAGAGGGACGAUAAGACCCUAUAAAGCUUUAUAAAUUUAAAGAUUUUGUAUGUUUUUAUAUAAAAAUAAAUUCUAAAGAAUUUAUUGGGUUGGGGCGACAAUGGUAUAAUGAAAAUAACUGCUAUUAAAAUUAACAACUAUAUUUGGAUUAAGUUAAAUAAUUGAUCCUUUAUAAGGAUUUUAAGAUCAAGUUACUUUAGGGAUAACAGCGUUAUUUUUUCUGAGAGUUCUUAUCAAAGAAAAAGUUUGCGACCUCGAUGUUGAAUUAAAAUGUCUUUAUAGUGCAGCAGCUAUAAAAGAAGGUCUGUUCGACCUUUAAUGUUUUACAUGAUUUGAGUUCAGACCGGCGAGAGCCAGGUCGGUUUCUAUCU